rnacentral:rRNA from 1 species
CCUACGGGGGGCAGCAGUGAGGAAUAUUGGUCAAUGGGCGCGAGCCUGAACCAGCCAAGUAGCGUGAAGGAUGACGGCCCUAUGGGUUGUAAACUUCUUUUAUAGGGGAAUAAAAGAUGCCACGUGUGGCGUUUUGUGAGUACCCUAUGAAUAAGCAUCGGCUAACUCCGUGCCAGCAGCCGCGGUAAUACGGAGGAUGCGAGCGUUAUCCGGAUUUAUUGGGUUUAAAGGGAGCGGAGGAGGAUUGUCAAGUCAGUCGUGAAAUUUUGGGGCUCAACCCUAAAAGUGCCGUUGAAACUGGCAGUCUUGAGUACAUGAGAGGUAUGCGGAAUGCGUGGUGUAGCGGUGAAAUGCUUAGAUAUCACGAAGAACUCCGAUUGCGAAGGCAGCAUACCGGCGUGCAACUGACAUUGAUGCUCGAAAGUGUGGGUAUCAAACAGGAUUAGAUACCCCAGUAGUC